rnacentral:rRNA from 1 species
CCUACGGGGGGCAGCAGUAGGGAAUCUUCGGCAAUGGGGGCAACCCUGACCGAGCAACGCCGCGUGAGUGAAGAAGGUUUUCGGAUCGUAAAGCUCUGUUGUAAGUCAAGAACGAGUGUGAGAGUGGAAAGUUCACACUGUGACGGUAGCUUACCAGAAAGGGACGGCUAACUACGUGCCAGCAGCCGCGGUAAUACGUAGGUCCCGAGCGUUGUCCGGAUUUAUUGGGCGUAAAGCGAGCGCAGGCGGUUUGAUAAGUCUGAAGUUAAAGGCUGUGGCUCAACCAUAGUUCGCUUUGGAAACUGUCAAACUUGAGUGCAGAAGGGGAGAGUGGAAUUCCAUGUGUAGCGGUGAAAUGCGUAGAUAUAUGGAGGAACACCGGUGGCGAAAGCGGCUCUCUGGUCUGUAACUGACGCUGAGGCUCGAAAGCGUGGGGAGCGAACAGGAUUAGAUACCCUUGUAGUC